rnacentral:lncRNA from 1 species
GCUGCAAACUUAAUAAGUAAAAGCCGAGUAAACCGGAAAGCCACUGGUAUGACUGGCAAAAUCCUGUUAGUUACAAGAAAGUAGACGUUCUAGAAAAAUGAGGGCUCACAGUUUGCCCUGUGUUGUCUUGGGGCUUAGACUGGUCACUUCCUGUCUCUUCUGCCUUCCUCUGCCCUGCCCAGGGGCCUUGGUGAGCAAGACCCAAGAGGGAGUUGCCCAGCAGACAGUGUGGGUGAGAGUGAGUUUUCUCUCACCAAGUUUAGACCUCAUAAAACUCAUCCUACCGGUGACACCUGGGAUGGCUUUUCCCCACCUCACUAAUUUGGGGUUUCUUAGUUGAAGGGUGAUGGUGAAUAAGAAAAAAAAUACUCAAAAGUUCAUCUCAAAACUGACAUAGGGGGGAAAAAAGCGCCCAUUAAAGUCUUUUAAAAGCCUAAA